AUUUGGUGUGRAUUGCAGGACACAUUGAGCACUGAUUUUUCGAACGCACAUUGCGGCCUCGGGUCCUGCCCGGGGCCUCGCCUGUCUGAGGGUCGGAUAAGAUUUGCAAAGGAAAAAAAUUUAUUUUUUUUCCAAUUGGCCGCUUCGGGUUACUCUUAACGAGUUUCUCGUCGGUUCAAGUAUCAAUAGGAUCCUCCCCGGUCGAGAAAGCAUCGCCCUAGUGCAUGCUCGUCGCUCGGAGAAGACGGACAAACGUUUCUCCACGAAGACGAGACUGGCUCGAUGCUGAUGUGACCAUAAUAGGGGAUUUCAAUUCCUACAAAGACUUUUAUGUCUUUAUAAAUAAAUACUUUUGACGACCUCAGAUCAGACGAAAUGACCCGCURAAUUUAAGCAUAUC
rnacentral:rRNA from 1 species